GUCCAUCCCCCUUGGUUGAAUUUUCCUCUCAACCGCAGCUUCUUAGGCAAGCAAAUCCAGCUGCCGUCCAUCCCCCUUGGUUGAAUUUUCCUCUCAACCGCAGCUUCUUAGGCAAGCAAAUCCAGCUGCCGUCCAUCCCCCUUGGUUGAAUUUUCCUCUCAACCGUAGCUUCUCGGGCAAGCAAAUCCAGCUGCCGUCCAUCCCCUUUAUCCAAUUCUCCUUUGUUUGGGUCUCCGCCUUGCUUUCCUUUCAUUUUUCCUUUCACAACAGCUCUCCAUCUUCACCCACCGAAACACCAAUUUUUCCCCAUCUCCAAGCCACAACACGUCCUUAUUUGCUGCUUGCUUGGUCAACAUUUAAGUGAAGCCCACCUUGUUGACGCCAUUCACGCCAACGAAGCCGCGUGUCUGCGGCAUCUUCUCCGAAGACCAAGCAGCUCUCUCCACCGAAUUGUUUUCUCUUUCAACCGAAUAGUUCAACUCCACGAAUCCUCACCCAUCGAAACCCCACCGUCGUUCCUCUCUCCUUCGCUCGCAAGUUCGGCCAUCAUUUGGCCGAGAUUCGGCCCAGCAGUCUUCAUCUCCACGAAGCCAGUCCCAACAGUGAUGCCAGCGUGAUCGAAAUGGCAUGUCUCUCGGUCAACAUCCCACCGCCAGGCACUGAUUUCGUUGACCCGCAGCUCCUUCGCAGGCCCGCACCUUCGCACCAUCACGGCCCAGCAGUUGGGCCCGUAUCCAACCAGCAUCAACAGCCCACGAAUUCACCCACAAGCCCAUCUUUAGCCCAGUGAUUUUCAGCCCAUUUCCAGCAGAUUUGAAGCCCAAGCUCAGGCCCAAGUUCAGUUGGUUUUAGCCCAUUUGAAGUUCAGCCCAUUUUGGGCCCGCGAAGAAGGCCCAAGCCCGCGACCAGCAGCCUUGCAGAAGCCCAAGACCGAAACUCAGCCUUGCUGAGUUGUGUUGGGCCAGUCCUAGGCCCAGUCCAAGUCCGCCGACGCCGCCGAAAAUUUGAUUUUCAGCCGCCGUCGUGUCGUCAUCGUCGUAGUGAACCGAUUUUCACGAUACACCGGUGAGUUUAUUCACUAAACUCUUCUUAGUAGGCUAAUGACGUCUAAGGGUUGUUUAGUUUAAUUUAAUUAGGAAUUAGGUGGUUAGUUAGAUUAAAUUAGUAAUUUAAUUAUUCAAUUAUGCACGAGAGGUGGUUAGAUUAGGUUAAGUGAGGCCUAGAUAAAUUAUAUUAUUUAUCUAGAAGGGUUUGGGAAUUUUUCCGGGUCCGUAUUGGUAUUUAAUUUAAUAAUUUCAGCCUAGGUUAGUAUUUUAGAAAUUAAAUUGAAUUAAUUAAUUAAUUUUCAAAAUUAAUUAAUUAUUAAUUAUUUUUCUCGAAAUUAGGCCGGGAUAGCCGGUAAUCAGAAUUUCGUGCUGAUUGCAACGGUGUCAUUAAUUUCUGCAAUUGAGUGUUAAAUUAUGCAAAUUGAGUGCUGAUUUGAUUUUUGGAUAUUUAUUCCAAAAAUUUAUAAAAUUCGUUAUUUAUUCAAAAAAAUCUGGGGUGUCGGGUUUUAACACCGAAAAAGGUAUUAUAUACUAUAUAAACUAGUGGGAUUUUAAAAAGAGAAUUAUGAAUUUUUUGGGUCCGAUCUAACCGUAUACCAACGCACAACUAUUUUCACAAAGUGUUUUUAAUACGAAGAAAAUAGGCCAGGAUCACUAUUUCAAUUAAAGCAUUUGAGUGCAAUGCACAGCGUCCUAGGCCGAGAUUGAUUGGUCAUGUGUGAUUAACUGAACCCGUCCUAGCAUUUAUGUCGGACGUUACUAAAUUUCACUUUUGGGUUACCCAUGCAUUAGGGUAGCGGGUCACAGUACAUUAUGGACCUAUUAUGGACCUAUGCUCCUUCGGGAAAGUCGUUUGAGAGAGGUAACCAUCCUCAGUGGAGUGAGACAAUGCCUGACUACGCUUGUAGACCGCCAAACUUUGAGUAGGCCGUACCCUGGAGUGGGUAAAAUUAUCAAUUGGAACGCAUGUUGAGUGGAAUAGAUGCGCCGGAUUAUGAGACAAAAUUGUGUGACAUGGUAUGGGACGUGUCAUAACGAUUUGGUCCUCUAAUCUGGGCCCAUGUGAUUUAUUGAGUUGAGUAAUGCGUUUUAAUUAUUGCAUGUAUCAAUUCUAUACAUGAUGUAUAUGAACUAUGCUAACCUGCAAGAUGAAACUGAUGUGAGGUAAGUCCUAUGUACCAAUUAUAUGAUUGCGUGGUUAGGAUGCUUCUGGGCAUAUUUUCCUCAUAAUCAGGAUUUAGUGGAUGAACUUGUUGAAACAUCAUCUCACCAGUUAUUGUGUAACCAUUUUUAGGGUCAUCGAGUAGAGGACUUGGAGCUGAGAGAAGGUGAACUGAAGUGUAGGUCAACUAGGACCGCUUCUUUUUGGAAGGCUAGAUUUUUGUAGUCUUUUAACAAUAGACUUUUGUACAUGACUAAGUUAUAUAUAAAAGUGUGUUUGUUUGUGAAACUGUUGUACUGCUUUUCUAUCCCGAGAUAAUUACUG
rnacentral:lncRNA from 1 species